rnacentral:rRNA from 1 species
ACUGCUCAGUAACACGUGGAUAACCUGCCCUUGGGUCCGGCAUAACCCCGGGAAACUGGGGAUAAUUCCGGAUAACGCAUAUGUGCUGGAAUGCUUUAUGCGUCAAAUGGAUUCGUCUGCCCAAGGAUGGGUCUGCGGCCUAUCAGGUAGUAGUGGGUGUAAUGUACCUACUAGCCGACAACGGGUACGGGUUGUGAGAGCAAGAGCCCGGAGAUGGAUUCUGAGACAUGAAUCCAGGCCCUACGGGGCGCAGCAGGCGCGAAAACUUUACAAUGCGGGAAACCGUGAUAAGGGGACACCGAGUGUCAGCAUCAUAUGCUGGCUGUCCAGGUGUGUAAAAUACACCUGUUAGCAAGGGCCGGGCAAGACCGGUGCCAGCCGCCGCGGUAACACCGGCGGCCCGAGUGGUGAUCGUGAUUAUUGGGUCUAAAGGGUCCGUAGCCGGUUUGGUCAGUCCUCCGGGAAAUCUGAUAGCUCAACUAUUAGGCUAUCGGGGGAUACUACCAGACUUGGAACCGGGAGAGGUAAGAGGUACUACAGGGGUAGGAGUGAAAUCUUGUAAUCCCUGUGGGACCACCUGUGGCGAAGGCGUCUUACCAGAACGGGUUCGACGGUGAGGGACGAAAGCUGGGGGCACGAACCGGAUUAGAUACCCAGGUAGUCCCAGCCGUAAACGAUGCUCGCUAGGUGUCAGGCAUGGCGCGACCGUGUCUGGUGCCGCAGGGAAGCCGUGAAGCGAGCCACCUGGGAAGUACGGCCGCAAGGCUGAAACUUAAAGGAAUUGGCGGGGGAGCA